rnacentral:rRNA from 1 species
UACGAAGGGUGCAAGCGUUACUCGGAAUUACUGGGCGUAAAGCGUGCGUAGGUGGUUUGUUAAGUCUGAUGUGAAAGCCCCUGGCUCAACCUGGGAAUUGCAUUGGAUACUGGCUGACUAGAGUGCGGUAGAGGGCAGUGGAAUUCCCGGUGUAGCAGUGAAAUGCGUAGAGAUCGGGAGGAACAUCUGUGGCGAAGGCGACUGCCUGGACCAGCACUGACACUGAGGCACGAAAGCGUGGGGAGCAAAC